rnacentral:rRNA from 1 species
AACGAACGCUGGCGGCGUGCCUAACACAUGCAAGUCGAACGCGAAAGUGGAGCAAUCCAUGAGUAGAGUGGCAAACGGGUGAGUAACACGUGGGUGACCUGCCUUAGAGUGGGGGAUAACGUCCCGAAAGGGACGCUAAUACCGCAUAACAUGCUGCCUUUUAAGAGGUGGACAUCAAAGCCGGGACCGCAAGGCCUGGCGCUUAAAGAGGGGCCCGCGCCUGAUUAGCUAGUUGGUGGGGUAAUGGCUCACCAAGGCAACGAUCAGUAUCCGGCCUGAGAGGGCGGACGGACACACUGGGACUGAGACACGGCCCAGACUCCUACGGGAGGCAGCAGUGGGGAAUUGUUCGCAAUGGGCGCAAGCCUGAUCCAGCCAUGCCGCGUGAGUGAAGAAGGCCUGG